rnacentral:rRNA from 1 species
CGCAAUCUACCUUUAUCCGGGGCAUAGCCCAGUGAAAACUGGAUUAACACCCCAUAACAUCACAGCCUGGCAUCAGGCAAUGAUUAAAAAUUUAUUGGAUAGAGAUGAGCGUGCGUCCCAUUAGCUAGUUGGUAGGGUAAUGGCCUACCAAGGCGACGAUGGGUAGCUGGUGUGAGAGCACGACCAGCCACACGGGCACUGAGACACGGGCCCG